UGGGGAAUAUUGCACAAUGGGCGCAAGCCUGAUGCAGCCAUGCCGCGUGUAUGAAGAAGGCCUUCGGGUUGUAAAGUACUUUCAGCGGGGAGGAAGGCGAUAAGGUUAAUAACCUUGUCGAUUGACGUUACCCGCAGAAGAAGCACCGGCUAACUCCGUGCCAGCAGCCGCGGUAAUACGGAGGGUGCAAGCGUUAAUCGGAAUUACUGGGCGUAAAGCGCACGCAGGCGGUCUGUCAAGUCGGAUGUGAAAUCCCCGGGCUCAACCUGGGAACUGCAUUCGAAACUGGCAGGGUAGAGUCUUGUAGAGGGGGGUAGAAUUCCAGGUGUAGCGGUGAAAUGCGUAGAGAUCUUGAGGAAUACCGGUGGCGAAGGCGGCCCCCUGGACAAAGACUGACGCUCAGGUGCGAAAGCGUGGGGAGCAAACA
rnacentral:rRNA from 1 species